AAGUCGUAACAAGGUUUCCGUAGGUGAACCUGCGGAAGGAUCAUUAACAAAUCUAAAAACAGUUUUGCCUUUGGUUUGGCAUGUUCAGUGCAAGCUGUCAUGAUAGACCAAAGGUAUCACACACACACUUUGAAUGACACAUUUCAGAAGACCAAGAACUUAAAUGUUAACAACUUUUAACAAUGGAUCUCUUGGCUCUU
rnacentral:misc_RNA from 1 species